rnacentral:tRNA from 1 species
GCCUUCGUAGUGUAAUGGCCAGCGCACUUGGUGCGUGCGUAUUCGAGAGGUCCGAGGUUCGAAUCCCGGCGAGGGCG